CCUACGGGAGGCAGCAGUGAGGAAUAUUGGUCAAUGGACGCAAGUCUGAACCAGCCAAGCCGCGUGCAGGAAGACGGCUCUAUGAGUUGUAAACUGCUUUUGUACGAGGGUAAACGCAGAUACGCGUACCUGUCUUAAAAUAUCGUACGAAUAAGGAUCGGCUAACUCUGUGCCAGCAGCCGCGGUAAUACGGAGGAUUCCCGCGUUAUCCGGAUUUAUUGGGUUUAAAGGGUGCGUAGGCGGUCGGCUAAGUUAGAGGUGAAAGCCCGAGGCUCAACCUUGGAAUUGCCGCUGAUACUGUUGGGCUAGAGAGUAGUUGCGGUAGGCGGAAUGUAUGGUGUAGCGGUGAAAUGCUUAGAGAUCAUACAGAACACCGAUUGCGAAGGCAGCUGACCAAGCUACUUCUGACGUUGAGGCACGAAAGCGUGGGGAGCAAACAGGAUUAGAUACCCGGGUAGUC
rnacentral:rRNA from 1 species